GGGGGCGAACUGGUUUCGACCGGAUAGCUUGAAGUGAAAGUGGCGUGCCGUGGUUGAUCGGUGGCCCACGUUAAAAGCCGAUUAACAUUUUUACUUGCCAAUUCUCAUAUGGCACUGGCUGCCUAGCAGUAGGUAACCCUGGCUGAGGGCUUUUGUCGGAGAGGCCUGAAAGCCAGUCGCUAAUUCCGAAUCGCCUCGGUUCAUGUCGAGCACGUCCGAGGUUAAAAAAGUUCUCGGCUAGUCGGACCGAUAGCCUGUCGAUUGGCGAUCGAUUUGGCGAAAACCCAAAUAAUUGACUACGCACGUAGAGGCUUUUGUGGAAAUGUCACGGGACGCGGGUUCGAUUCCCGCCGCCUCCACUG
rnacentral:tmRNA from 1 species